rnacentral:rRNA from 1 species
GACGAACGCUGGCGGCGUGCUUAACACAUGCAAGUCGAACGGUGAAGCGCCUUCCUUUUUGGUGGGUGUGGAUGAGUGGCGAACGGGUGAGUAACACGUGAGUAACCUGCCCCCUUCUUCUGGAUAACCGCAUGAAAGUGUGGCUAAUACGGGAUAUUCUGGGUCUGUCGCAUGAUGGGUCUGGGAAAGAUAUUGUUUCGGUGGGGGAUGUGCUCGCGGCCUAUCAGCUUGUUGGUGGGGUGAUGGCCUACCAAGGCGGUGACGGGUAGCCGGCCUGAGAGGGUGGAUGGUCACACUGGGACUGAGACACGGCGCAGACUCCUACGGGAGGCAGCAGGGGGGAAUAUUGAACAAUGGGCGCAAGCCUGAUGCAGCGACGCCGCGUGAGGGAUGGAGGCCUUCGGGUUGUGAACCUCUUUCGCCAGUGAAGCAGGCCUGCCUCGUUUGUGGGUGGGUUGACGGUAGCUGGAUAAGAAGCGCCGGCUAACUACGUG